rnacentral:rRNA from 1 species
UACUAGCGGUCCAAGUCGCAGCCAUUUUUAUUGGGUCUAAAACAUCCGUAGCUUGCUUGAUAAGUUCCUUGUGAAAUUCUGUAUCUCAAGUACAGAGCGCGCAAGAAAUACUGUUGAGCUAGAGACCGGAAGACGGAAGGAGUACGUUCGAAGUAGCGGUAAAAUGUGUUAAUCUCGGACGGACUUACAAUAGCGAAGGCACCUUUCGAGGACGGUUCUGACAGUAAGGGAUGAAGGCCAGGGGCGCAAAACGGAUUAGAUACCCGCGUA